AGGAUGGCAGCAGCAGACACACAGGGUGGUUAAGAACAACAAACACAGUAUUUCAAACUCAUGAAACUCUAACUUUGGGAAUGUGUAUGUGUUGUUGAAGGAGUCCUCAUGAAACUAGCGUGGACAACACUAGAUUGACCACUGGCUACCAACCGGCGUAGGAAUUCAACCUACAUGAAGACUCAGAGUCAGGACCCACCCUGCACCCCCAAACUGUUGCGCUUUCCCAGAGCCCCUGCCGUGCCGUCCUUCCCUGACUUUCUAGUUCCCACCCCUGACCAGCUCUUGGGCUCUCUGCACUGAGCUCUCUGCCCUGCAACUUUAGUACAUGGGAUACAAGCUUCAUCAGCUCCCUGGCCCUUGUUCAGAACAGCUGCUCGCCGUGAAGUGGACAUGCAUGUGCUAGAACAUCU
rnacentral:lncRNA from 10 species